rnacentral:misc_RNA from 1 species
AUUAAGGCGGUUUGGUUCGGUUUAAGCUGAAUAGUGCUCACCCCUACCACCCCACCCCAAAAAAAAAAAAAAACCUGUGAGAUCACCAGUGAUGAGAACGAGAGAAGGAUUGAUCAUUUGAAGAGCAAGGACCACAAUCUUCUUGAAGUCAAGGGCUCUAUCAGGGUAGUGGACACUGAAAUGGAGAUCAGAGAGCUGAACCACCCAUAUCACUGAUUCUGGG